AUUGAACGCUGGCGGCUGGCCUAACACAUGCAAGUCGAACGAGCGGCGGACGGGUGAGUAAUGUAUGGGGAACUGCCUGAUAGAGGGGGAUAACUACUGGAAACGGUGGCUAAUACCGCAUACCAUCGGAUGUGCCCAUAUGGGAUUCGCUAGUAGGUGGGGUAAAGGCUCACCUAGGCGACGAUCCCUAGCUGGUCUGAGAGGAUGACCAGCCACACUGGAACUGAGACACGGUCCAGACUCCUACGGGAGGCAGCAGUGGGGAAUAUUGCACAAUGGGCGCAAGCCUGAUGCAGCCAUGCCGCGUGUAUGAAGAAGGCCUUAGGGUUGGAAAGUACUUUCAGCGGGGAGGCGUUACCCGCAGAAGAAGCACCGGCUAACUCCGUGCCAGCAGCCGCGGUAAUUC
rnacentral:rRNA from 1 species